rfam:Dichanthelium oligosanthes cultivar Kellogg 1175 unplaced genomic scaffold Do_version_2_scaffold104, whole genome shotgun sequence.
GGGAGUGUGCGAUGUUGGCAUGGUUCAAUCAGAUCGAGGGUGGUGUCUCAUUCGAUCUGAUUGAGCCGUGCCAAUAUCACAAACUUCCCA